CGCUCAGAGGGACAAAGGCAGGAGUGGGAGCCCAAAUAAUACCCUGCCAGGAUACUCUCAGCUGCAUCACCGUGGGAGUCCCAGCCAGCUCUGCAUGUGAGAAUGCCUGCAUGCCUCUAAGGACAAACGUAAGUCAGAUUCACACUGGAGCACACUAACAGGACAACCAGGAAUUAAGGCCUGAGUGCAAAAUAAGGGUCUUUACACAAUUCUGUUUCUACUUAUGUCACUCCGAUUAAGAGAAUCAAGUUAAAAUCAAGGUCUACCCGGUCUGGGAAGUGAACACAGUUCUGAAGACAAGCUGUAUUCACAUAUGCCUUUACGUGGGCUUUUCAACAAACAGAGCCCAAAUUCGAAUCUAAAUAUUUCAAUAUACUUCUUGAUAUUCUGAGUCCAACCACAAAAGUAUUUCAAUGAUUGUUAUAAUCAUGUCUCUAGAGAAGCUUGUGUGCUUUGUGAUAAUGAUAAAACUCACAGGUUAGUUUCAUGCUUCUUUUACUAUUGCUGUGCAUUUCUGUUUCUCUACAGAAGUGUUUUUGUUGUUGCUGUUGUUCUUAUAAAUUCAGGACAACACAGACAAGUAAACUUUUAGGAUUUUAUUUCAUUCAGAAUACCUUCAUCUUUAUUUGGGGAAAAGGCAUUUCUCAAGAUAUCUUUCAGUAUUCCAAAACACUGGGUUUUUUUGCAUUAUGUCCUAUUGGAUCAACCAGUUUCACAAAAUAGUGACGAAAGAUGACAAAUAAAGCAAUAUCUGACAUGAACAGGAAGUUAUAGCAUCACUGUUUAUUUCUGAUUUUUCUGAAUACUGGAAGAGAAAAGUAAGUUAAUAAAUUUAUUCUUGGGCUCGUCAAAAAUCAGAAUGCAGAAAAAUUUGGAAAUUACGAAGUCUUUUGAAGAUAGAUUUUUGUUCUUUUAACGGAACCUCCGGAAAAUGUUAAUCACAGUCACCAAAAAGCUUCUAAGAGAUCAACCUCACUAAACUAGUGAGACAAACUGCAGAAUGAAUUGAAUAAAUUAUGGCUAUAUUAAACAAGGUAGCAGCACUGAUCACAGGUAUUGGCAUUUGCCACCUGCCUAGAGAUUAGCUUCCUAUGAGCCUCAUCAUAGUUAUGUUUUAAUCGGGGGUUUGGAUGAAAGUGAGGUAGUGGCUUCACAGCUUUUUACAGGAAUUCUUUUCCUACUGAUCAUGUGUAACACUGAAGAAAAUGAAAUAUAUGCAAUGAUAUUAAGGAUUUUUUUUGCACUGUAGUUGUCCUAUGUGCAAUUUCUCUGAGAUGAAGUUCCUCUAGGCUUCACAGUGGAAGGACUCAGCUUCCACAAAGAAUCUAAAGUAGGGUUAAAGUGGAUGUGUAGAUAUCUGGAUUGGGAGAAUUCCUUCUCUAAUCAUCCAGACCUGGAUGCUAGUUAGUUACCAGUAUUAAGCUGACUGAAACCUACUCUGUAUAUUUAACAUUAAUUCACUGUUGUGGAAAUUAUUUCAGUGAUAACUUCUAGAGAAACAGACAUUUUAAUACACAAAACCACAAUGUUUCCCAGAGCAAAAGACAAGCUGAAUAAAACAAUAAGAAUAAAAAGGGGAAACAUUAUAUUUGUUUAGCUGCUAUAUGAAUAAUAUUAUGCUUGUCUUUAAAGAUAAAAGUUCUGGCUUUUACAUGUUUUACAUUAUUCUUUUGCUUGUUCAGAAAAUGUGAUCAAAUACCUGGUUCAGGACUUUUUCGUGAUGAUGGACGUUGUAUGAAAAUAUGUCAAAUAUGUGAAAAUCUUCAAAAUCAGAUAGAGGGGAAGAGACAGUUGGUUCAUUUUUCAUCUCUUUAACUAAUGUCUCAGAAGGUUUUUUUCCAAACCAGCAGUAAAAUUUCUCAGUGUUGAUGAAUUUGAUGGCAUGAACUUAGCUCAGUGUUUUUGCAACUUAGUAUUUUGAUGAAUUUCUUGUCUCUUAACAACUUCAGAUAAAAUUCAGCUCCACAAAGAGAAGCUGGAUGUAAUUAGCACAGAAGAAAAUGUUAUUGAGAAAGGAAGUUUUUGAGUGAGAAGUUUCUUAACAUCUAUACAUACUCAUUUAGCAUAGUCAAGUUCUAGUGUUCAAAAUGCUGUGCUUAUGGUCAGGCCUUUUUAUAUCUUGUCUAAAAGAAAUUACCUGAAUUUUUGUUUUGGUUAUGCUUGACAACAGCAUUUUUUUUUUCUGGCAUUUUGUUUGGUAUUUCUGUAGCAGUACCUACAAAAGGAGGUAUUUUCCCAUCCAGGAACAGACAUAUUCUACAAAUGAUAAACAGAGCUCCUCAAGAAAAUAACUGCGUAGUCAGGGAAUAAUAGGAAUGUUUUAAUUGCUGAUAGCAUGCAUAUUUAUGGCUCUAAUAUUUUCAAGCAAAAUGCAAAAAAAAUAAAGACAACCCUCCCAAUAAAGAACUGGUUACAACUGAUUACAUCUUUUAUUGAUAAAGGGUAUGUAAAGACAAGAAGUCAGCUUCUUAAAUAAACUCUAUUAGCUUCCAUUGCACUUUGUCACUUUGAAUUGUAUCAUAUCACUUUUACGUCAAAUGAAACCA